rnacentral:rRNA from 1 species
UACGAAGGGGGCUAGCGUUGCUCGGAAUUACUGGGCGUAAAGGGUGCGUAGGUGGCGGGGUAAGUCGGAUGUGAAAUCUCCGAGCUCAACUCGGAAAUGGCAUUGGAAACUACCUUGCUCGAGGGUUGGAGGGGGGACUGGAAUACUUGGUGUAGCAGUGAAAUGCGUAGAUAUCAAGUGGAACACCAGUGGCGAAGGCGAGUCCCUGGACAACUCCUGACACUGAGGCACGAAAGCUAGGGGAGCAAACAGG